AGCUAAUACCGCAUAACGUCGCAAGACCAAAGAGGGGGACCUUCGGGCCUCUUGCCAUCGGAUGUGCCCAGAUGGGAUUAGCUAGUAGGUGGGGUAACGGCUCACCUAGGCGACGAUCCCUAGCUGGUCUGAGAGGAUGACCAGCCACACUGGAACUGAGACACGGUCCAGACUCCUACGGGAGGCAGCAGUGGGGAAUAUUGCACAAUGGGCGCAAGCCUGAUGCAGCCAUGCCGCGUGUAUGAAGAAGGCCUUCGGGUUGUAAAGUACUUUCAGCGGGGAGGAAGGGAGUAAAGUUAAUACCUUUGCUCAUUGACGUUACCCGCAGAAGAAGCACCGGCUAACUCCGUGCCAGCAGCCGCGGUAAUACGGAGGGUGCAAGCGUUAAUCGGAAUUACUGGGCGUAAAGCGCACGCAGGCGGUUUGUUAAGUCAGAUGUGAAAUCCCCGGGCUCAACCUGGGAACUGCAUCUGAUACUGGCAAGCUUGAGUCUCGUAGAGGGGGGUAGAAUUCCAGGUGUAGCGGUGAAAUGCGUAGAGAUCUGGAGGAAUACCGGUGGCGAAGGCGGCCCCCUGGACGAAGACUGACGCUCAGGUGCGAAAGCGUGGGGAGCAAACA
rnacentral:rRNA from 1 species